GCAACGGCGCUUUUAGUUUGCUCGCUGAUGGCAUUUCACCGGCAAAUAAAUUGCUUUUAUUUGGCUUUAAAACUGUGCAAUUCCAGGAACUAAGAUGAAACCGUAUCGUAAACAUAGUAGAAACUAAUAUAUCAGUUAUAUUUAUUCUGGGGCGUUGCUCGGAUCCAGAGACCUAGUCUGUCUCUGGUCAGCCCUAAAGUAGUAAUGCGGUCAUGUAUGGAGUUUUUUCAAACAUCUGAGCCGAGCAAAUCAUUCGGGACUUCAGCUUCUGACGAGUCUGUAUUUAACUGUCGUAUACAUCUUUGGAUAAUAAUAUCGAUACGAAUAAUAUCGAUUUAUGAUUUCCAUAAAAUGAAAGCAGUCUCUCUUACGAAAAAGAAGCAUAUUUAAGUGUAUUCUAUAAGUAUACUUCUUCUAAACUAAAAAAAUUAGGCAGUGAGGCGAGGCAGUGGGCCGGGGCAUACCGAUGAACUCCUUGCGCAGUUUGUCCCUCUUGCGCAGGUCCUCGACCCCCAGGAUGAGGGCGUUGACGAAGCUGAGCAGAGUGACCAUGUACGGGACGUUGUCCGUGCCCUGCAGCUCGCUCAUGAUCAUGCUAAAGCGGUACUGUUGGGUCUUCACGCUCUGCCAAGACACGGACGCACACAGUUUUAAUCUCUGUAGGGCAAGCUCAACAAUAGACUAACAAAGGAGGGUAACAAAGGGCUCAGCUUGUUGUUGCUUCUCAAACAAAGGUCUCCUCAGACGACACAUCCAACAGGCACUCUGCUGUAUCCUUCAGCCCGUUUCUAAGUCACCGGUUGCCAUGGGCUACAUAUCUGUAGAUACCUCAAAGGCAAAUCCUACACCAUUCGUAGACAUAUCUGUGGGAGAUCUGACAGGCUAUCCUGUCAAGCCUGAGGUGCUUUUGGAAGAGGUAGCUACCUUCAAUUAGUGAUGGGGAAAAAGGAAAGGGUUCUAAAUGAAGUGUGUGGGGGUAGUGGUGCAUUGCUAUUGGCUGAGUGAUUUAAGCCAUUUUGUAUUGGCUAUACUUUUGGUUCCUAUUGGGUUAAAUCAGGCAGGGGGUGUCACCACAUUGUAGACCCGUUUAAAAGGAGGAUUCUGCUCAGGAAAUCCCACCCACCUUGAGA